UUCAGCUUCUCAUGCCCAGCCAGCAAGAAGGCUGGAGGGGCACAAGAAGUUGGGAGGGGACACAGCUGGGACAGCUGACCCAAACUGGCCAAAGGGGUAUCCCAGACCAUAUGACGUCAUGCUCAGCAUAUAAAGCUGGGGGAAGAAGAAGAAGAAGGAGGUGGGGGGAUGUUCAGAGUGAUGGUGUUUGUCUUCCCAAGUAACCAUUACCUGUGAUGGAGCCCUGCUUUCCUGGAGAUGGCUGAACACCUGCCUGCCCAUGGGAAACCUGGGCCUCCAUCUUGUCCACGCUCUCCUGCGGGUCCGCUGGGGCCAGGAGGACCUGGGCUACCACGUUCGCCUGCAGGACCCUAAAAAAGAGAUGUUGAAAUUCACAGCAAGGAAAUCAGCAUCAUAAUGAAUCUGAAAUUGUCCAUUCAAAUUCACAUGGAUUCUCCAGAAGUUUGGGGUCUUUUUUAGAGGAAGACUUAUACCUUUUCACCUGGAAGUCCAUUGCUACCGGGUAAGCCACGGAAACCGGGGGAGCCCUGCCAAAUAAAAGAACAAAAUAUGGAUCGUAGGCAAUAUGACUUAGGGCUUCCACUUGUACCUGGAGGCCCAGGAAGACCACGGCCUCCUGGCAGACCAGGAGCACCGGGAACACCAGCAGGUCCCUGUAGAGAGUGAAUGGCAG